UGGCGGCGUGGAUAAGGCAUGCAAGUCGAGCGAUCCCGACGCAGCGAGGAAGUCGAGCCUUCGGGUGAGACUGACGAGCAACGUCGGGAUAGCGGCAAACGGGUGAGUAAUGCGUGGGUAACGUACCUUGGAGAGGGGGAUAGCUCCGAGAAAUCGGAGGUAAUACCCCAUGGUCUCCUAAGACUGAAAUGGCUUAGGAGUAAAGGUGGCCUCUCCCGACGUUAUGUCGGGAUGCUAUCGCUCCAAGAGCGGCUCACGUCCUAUCAGGUAGUUGGUAGGGUAAUGGCCUACCAAGCCUAAGACGGGUAGCUGGCAUUAGCGUGUGGUCAGCCACACCGGGACUGAGACACUGCCCGGACUCCUACGGGAGGCUGCAGUCGAGAAUCUUUCCCAAUGGGCGAAAGCCUGAGGAUGCGACGCCGCGUGGGGGAUGAAGCGCUUCGGCGUGUAAACCCCUUUUACCGGGGAGGAAAUCCUGAUAAUGAAUAAUUAUCAGGACUGACUGUACCCGAUGAAUAAGGUGCGGCUAACUCCGUGCCAGCAGCCGCGGUAAUACGGAGGCACCUAGCGUUACUCGGUUUGACUGGGUGUAAAGGGUCCGCAGGCGGCCAAGUAAGUGGAAGGUGAAAGCUUCCGGCUUAACCGGGAAAGUGCCUUUCAAACUGCUUGGCUUCGAGGUUGGAAGAGGAGAGCGGAACUGCCGGUGUAAAGGUGAAAUUUGUGGAUAUCGGCAGGAACGCCUGUGGCGAAGGCGGCUCUCUGGUCCAAUCCUGACGCUCAGGGACGAAAGCUAGGGGAGCAAACAGGAUUAGAUACCCUGGUAGUCCUAGCCGUAAACGAUGGGCACUAGGUGUCCUCUAUUUUAGGGGGUGCCGAAGCUAACGCGUUAAGUGCCCCACCUGGGGACUACGGCCGCAGGGCUAAAACUCAAAGGAAUUGACGGGGGCCCGCACAAGCGGUGGAACACGUGGUUUAAUUCGAUGCUACGCGAGGAACCUUACCAGGGCUUGACAUGCAGGUAGUAGCGCUCCGAAAGGAGUUGCCACCCGUAUCCAGUCGGGAGCCUGCACAGGUGCUGCAUGGCUGUCGUCAGCUCGUGCCGUGAGGUGUUCCCUUAAGUGGGAGAACGAGCGCAACCCUCGCCCUUAGUUGCUACCCCGAGGUUAUAAUCGGGGGCACUCUAAGGGGACUGCCCGCGUUAAGUGGGAGGAAGGUGGGGAUGACGUCAAGUCCGCAUGGCCCUUAUGCCCUGGGCUACACACGUGUUACAAUGCCGGUUACAGCGGGAGGCGACCGCGUAAGCGUGAGCAAAUCCUUAAAAAGCCGGCUCAGUUCGGAUCGAGGGCUGCAACCCGCCCUCGUGAAGCUGGAAUCGCUAGUAAUGGCGCAUCAGCUACGGCGCCGUGAAUACGUUCCCGGGCCUUGUACACACCGCCCGUCAAGCGCUGAAAGUGGGGAGCACCCGAAUCCCGACGUUACGUCGGGACACGGUGAACUCCAUGAUUGGCGCUAAGUCGUAACAAGGUAGCCG
rnacentral:rRNA from 1 species